GGCCCCGUAGCUCAGUUGGAUAGAGCGCGAGCCUUCUAAGCUUGAGGUCACAGGUUCGAAUCCUGUCGGGGUCGCCA
rnacentral:tRNA from 1 species